UUAAGCGACUAAGCGUACACGGUGGAUGCCCUGGCAGUCAGAGGCGAUGAAGGACGUGCUAAUCUGCGAAAAGCGUCGGUAAGGUGAUAUGAACCGUUACAGCCGGCGAUGUCCGAAUGGGGAAACCCAGUGCAAUUCGUUGCACUAUCGUUAACUGAAUACAUAGGUUAACGAGGCGAACCGGGGGAACUGAAACAUCUAAGUACCCCGAGGAAAAGAAAUCAACCGAGAUUCCCCCAGUAGCGGCGAGCGAACGGGGAGCAGCCCAGAGUCUGAAUCAGCUUGUGUGUUAGUGGAACGGUCUGGAAAGUCCGACGGUACAGGGUGAUAGUCCCGUACACCAAAAUGCACAGGCUGUGAACUCGAAGAGUAGGGCGGGACACGUGGUAUCCUGUCUGAAUAUGGGGGGACCAUCCUCCAAGGCUAAAUACUCCUGACUGACCGAUAGUGAACCAGUACCGUGAGGGAAAGGCGAAAAGAACCCCGGCGAGGGGAGUGAAAAAGAACCUGAAACCGUGUACGUACAAGCAGUGGGAGCACCUUCGGGUGUGACUGCGUACCUUUUGUAUAAUGGGUCAGCGACUUAUAUUCUGUAGCAAGGUUAACCGUAUAGGGGAGCCGCAGGGAAACCGAGUCUUAACUGGGCGUUAAGUUGCAGGGUAUAGACCCGAAACCCGGUGAUCUAGCCAUGGGCAGGUUGAAGGUUGGGUAACACUAACUGGAGGACCGAACCGACUAAUGUUGAAAAAUUAGCGGAUGACUUGUGGCUGGGGGUGAAAGGCCAAUCAAACCGGGAGAUAGCUGGUUCUCCCCGAAAGCUAUUUAGGUAGCGCCUCGUGAACUCAUCUUCGGGGGUAGAGCACUGUUUCGGCUAGGGGGUCAUCCCGACUUACCAACCCGAUGCAAACUACGAAUACCGAAGAAUGUUAUCACGGGAGACACACGGCGGGUGCUAACGUCCGUCGUGAAGAGGGAAACAACCCAGACCGCCAGCUAAGGUCCCAAAGUCAUGGUUAAGUGGGAAACGAUGUGGGAAGGCACAGACAGCCAGGAUGUUGGCUUAGAAGCAGCCAUCAUUUAAAGAAAGCGUAAUAGCUCACUGGUCGAGUCGGCCUGCGCGGAAGAUGUAACGGGGCUAAACCAUGCACCGAAGCUGCGGCAGCGACACUAUGUGUUGUUGGGUAGGGGAGCGUUCUGUAAGCCUGCGAAGGUGUGCUGUGAGGCAUGCUGGAGGUAUCAGAAGUGCGAAUGCUGACAUAAGUAACGAUAAAGCGGGUGAAAAGCCCGCUCGCCGGAAGACCAAGGGUUCCUGUCCAACGUUAAUCGGGGCAGGGUGAGUCGACCCCUAAGGCGAGGCCGAAAGGCGUAGUCGAUGGGAAACAGGUUAAUAUUCCUGUACUUGGUGUUACUGCGAAGGGGGGACGGAGAAGGCUAUGUUAGCCGGGCGACGGUUGUCCCGGUUUAAGCAUGUAGGCUGGUUAUCCAGGCAAAUCCGGAUAAUCAAGGCUGAGGUGUGAUGACGAGGCACUACGGUGCUGAAGUAACAAAUGCCCUGCUUCCAGGAAAAGCCUCUAAGCAUCAGGUAACAUCAAAUCGUACCCCAAACCGACACAGGUGGUCAGGUAGAGAAUACCAAGGCGCUUGAGAGAACUCGGGUGAAGGAACUAGGCAAAAUGGUGCCGUAACUUCGGGAGAAGGCACGCUGGUGUGUAGGUGAAGUCCCUGCGGAUGGAGCUGAGACCAGUCGAAGAUACCAGCUGGCUGCAACUGUUUAUUAAAAACACAGCACUGUGCAAACACGAAAGUGGACGUAUACGGUGUGACGCCUGCCCGGUGCCGGAAGGUUAAUUGAUGGGGUUAUCCGUAAGGAGAAGCUCUUGAUCGAAGCCCCGGUAAACGGCGGCCGUAACUAUAACGGUCCUAAGGUAGCGAAAUUCCUUGUCGGGUAAGUUCCGACCUGCACGAAUGGCGUAAUGAUGGCCAGGCUGUCUCCACCCGAGACUCAGUGAAAUUGAACUCGCUGUGAAGAUGCAGUGUACCCGCGGCAAGACGGAAAGACCCCGUGAACCUUUACUAUAGCUUGACACUGAACAUUGAGCCUUGAUGUGUAGGAUAGGUGGGAGGCUUUGAAGCGUGGACGCCAGUCUGCGUGGAGCCAACCUUGAAAUACCACCCUUUAAUGUUUGAUGUUCUAACGUUGGCCCCUGACCGGGGUUGCGGACAGUGUCUGGUGGGUAGUUUGACUGGGGCGGUCUCCUCCCAAAGCGUAACGGAGGAGCACGAAGGUUAGCUAAUCCUGGUCGGACAUCAGGAGGUUAGUGCAAUGGCAUAAGCUAGCUUGACUGCGAGCGUGACGGCGCGAGCAGGUGCGAAAGCAGGUCAUAGUGAUCCGGUGGUUCUGAAUGGAAGGGCCAUCGCUCAACGGAUAAAAGGUACUCCGGGGAUAACAGGCUGAUACCGCCCAAGAGUUCAUAUCGACGGCGGUGUUUGGCACCUCGAUGUCGGCUCAUCACAUCCUGGGGCUGAAGUAGGUCCCAAGGGUAUGGCUGUUCGCCAUUUAAAGUGGUACGCGAGCUGGGUUUAGAACGUCGUGAGACAGUUCGGUCCCUAUCUGCCGUGGGCGCUGGAGAAUUGAGGGGGGCUGCUCCUAGUACGAGAGGACCGGAGUGGACGCAUCACUGGUGUUCGGGUUGUCAUGCCAAUGGCACUGCCCGGUAGCUAAAUGCGGAAGAGAUAAGUGCUGAAAGCAUCUAAGCACGAAACUUGCCCCGAGAUGAGUUCUCCCUGAGACUAUAAGUCUCCUGAAGGAACGUUGAAGACGACGACGUUGAUAGGCCGGGUGUGUAAGCGCAGCGAUGCGUUGAGCUAACCGGUACUAAUGAACCGUGAGGCUUAACCUU
rnacentral:rRNA from 1 species